GGCUUUAGGCUCUGAGCUGUCAGCACAUAGCCCAAUGUGGGGCUCAAACCCACAAAGCACAAGAUCAUGACCUGAGAUGAAGUCGGAUGCUUCACCGACUGAGCUACCCAGCUGCCCCUCCAGUGGCUCUUGUAAUACUUGGAUGCUAUUCCCAAAUAAUUGGUUAAUCAAGGCUUCUAAAAUUAUCCAAACUUAAGCUUACUGCCUCAUUUAAUACUUUGAGCAAAUAAGAUUUCUCACUACUUCAACGUAGUAACACUGGGCUUUAACUCUAUUGGUGCCCACCCCAUUUCUGCCCACCCCUUUUGGAUUACUACAAGAAAUCUUUCCAUGUUUUUAUCCUUCUAGAAUCUGGUCUUAAAGAGGAUCUGUAGAAUAGUAAAUAGGAACAGUAAUAUGUUGUGCUGUAUUGUGUCUAAUUCUUAAACCUUAAAAUCCAUAUAUAGUUCAGUAGUAAACUUAUAAAGUGAUUUUAAGGGGCACCUGGGUGACUUAGUCGAAUGUCUGACUCUUGAUCUUGGCUCAGAUCAUGAUUUUACACUGUUUGUAGGAUCAAGCCCUAUGUCAGGCUCUGUGAUAAUGCAAAGCCUGCUUGGGAUUCUCUCUCCCUCUCUCUGCCCCUCCCCCACUGGCAUGCAUACUCUCUCUCUC